UACGGGAGGGGACUAGCGUUGUUCGGAAUUACUGGGCGUAAAGCGCACGUAGGCGGAUUUGUAAGUCAGGGGUGAAAUCCCGGGGCUCAACCCCGGAACUGCCUUUGAUACUGCGAAUCUCGAGUCCGGAAGAGGUGAGUGGAAUUCCUAGUGUAGAGGUGAAAUUCGUAGAUAUCAGGAGGAACCGACCGGUGGUGGUAGACGGCUUUCUGGACCGUAACUGACG
rnacentral:rRNA from 1 species